rnacentral:rRNA from 1 species
AUUGAACGCUGACGGAGUGCUUUACACAUGCAAGUCGAACGGCAGCACGGACUUCGGUCUGGUGGCGAGUGGCGAACGGGUGAGUAAUGUAUCGGAACGUGCCCAGUCGUGGGGGAUAACGUAGUGAAAAUUACGCUAAUACCGCAUACGAUCUAUGGAUGAAAGCGGGGGAUCGCAAGACCUCGCGCGAUUGGAGCGGCCGAUAUCAGAUUAGGUAGUUGGUGGGGUAAAGGCCCACCAAGCCAACGAUCUGUAGCUGGUCUGAGAGGACGACCAGCCAAACUGGAACUGAGACACGGUCCAGACUCCUACGGGAGGGAGCAGUGGGGAAUUUUGGACAAUGGGCGAAAGCCUGAUCCAGCCAUUCCGCGUGCAGGAUGAAGGCCCUCGGGUUGUAAACUGCUUUUGUACAGAACGAAAAGGUUUCUAAUAAUACUAGGAGCUCAUGACGGUACUGUAAGAAUAAGCACCGGCUAACUACGUGCCAGCCGCCGCCGUAA